UACGGAGGGUGCGAGCGUUGUCCGGAAUCAUUGGGCGUAAAGGGUGCGUAGGUGGCGCUGUAAGUCGGGUGUGAAAUCCUGAGGCUUAACCUCGGAACUGCAUUCGAUACUGCGGCGCUUGAGGACUGGAGAGGAGACUGGAAUUCAUGGUGUAGCAGUGAAAUGCGUAGAGAUCAUGAGGAAGACCAGUGGCGAAGGCGGCGCACUGGACCAUAACUGACGCUGAGGCGCGAAAGCUAGGGGGAGCAAACAGG
rnacentral:rRNA from 1 species